rnacentral:lncRNA from 1 species
UUAUACCAAGGCCAAGGUUUCAAAUCUAUAAAGGUUCCAGAUGGAGCUAAUUGGCCCCAACCAAAAACUUCACCAGAUGUUAAGUUCAACUUCAUGAUGAAGCUUCUCAACAAAUCAGCCGUUUCCAAAACUAACUAAAUACUUCCUAGGUAGAUUAUUAAGUUUGUACAAUGUAAUGUAUUUAUGGAAAAAAAUGUAGUAAGACGAGACCGUCUAUUUGGCGUGUGUAAGUAAACCAAGGAAUUAUAGAGGAAACAUCAUUUAAAGAUCUUUGGAAUUGCACAGGUAGUAAGCAGUUGUAUAGUUAGUUAUAUUGUCAUUCAUUCACAGUCCCACUCCCAAGUUUAUAAAGGAUACACCCUAUACCCUAACCCUACCAUGAUCAAGUGUUAUUCAAAUUUUGUAUUGAACUUCAAUAGCAGCAAGGGUUGUCAUUGCAAUUUUCAUUUUUGUUUGUCAAGACAAAGAAGUUGAAAACCAAUACGUGAUUCUUUUCAAAAAUACCUAGUCCAAAUGUGUAUCCGACGAAAAUCAUAACUAAAUUACGCCAGAUACUGAUGAUAAUAUGUUGCUGAUGCGUGUUUUUAUAGUGCAAAACAUAGAAGCAAAAUUAUCCCCAACACCUGAAAGCAAUCAACUUAUGAUCUUCAAACUUGUUUAAUGCUAAUGUGUCUAAACUUGCAAACUCUGUCACAGCUGCAAGCACAACAAGUCCGACCUUCACAGCAUCGCCAUUACUAGGCGUCUGCAAUAGCGAGUAUGCUCAUUUUGAAUUAGUUGCAAACUCUUCAUGUUUUUGUCCUGCGCUGUUCUUAAUCGUCCAUCCAUCAUUUUGUAUCUUUAACUAAUACAUUAAAUUGAAAUCAAUUGCUGAGAUUUGAGCAGGACCCUCUAGUAGUUGGAAAGGAACCGGUUCCCUUAAAAUGUAGUAGCAAUAAGAAGAGACAAGCAUGCACCUUCAUACAUAAGUGCCUUUUGCAUUCUAGGAUUAGAGUUGAUAGAAUACAUUCAAUCGACCACAAUUAGGAGGCUGAAACCACUUGAUGCCAGAACUGUCCCUCAAACUAGAUUAGGCGAUCCAAUGGUCGGAUACCAAUGGUGAAAAAAAAAAACAUUCAAUCAACUGUUUUAUCAAACACUUUGAUCUUAUAUUUAACAACUAAACGUUUAACUCACGGGUUUUGUAGCAAUACAAUUUUUUUUUUGAAACGGAGUAGCAUUACAAAAGAAGAGCUUAAGCACAUACAAUUCUUUUUUUCUUAUCAUAUUCCGCUUUCUUACCAAACACUAGAUUGAGAUAGAAUAUGAUAAAAUUAUUAUAUUAUGUCUCUUAUCAUGCGCACUAAACAAAACCCUAAAUGGAGAGAGCUAUGCAAUUAGGUUAUUUGCACGUGUAUGUGGAUGUACUACUACUUUUUGGAGGGAAAACGACUUGAAAAUUAGGGUUUGGUGACUAUGAACUUCCAUUAUAUUUAACUAUUUUGCGAAUUAGGAGAAAACCAUUACUCCCUCUAGUCCUAAACAUAAAAGUGAAUUGAACUAAAUUGAUUUAUAUUUGGACACAUUUACAUAAAAGUGAUUAUUAUCAAUUUAUGUUGUUUGGAUAAUUUUGAUUAAAAUUGCUUUUGGAUGUGGAAUUACAAUAUGGAUUUUGUCCUGGGCAUAAGGCUGGCUCAAAUCCACUACUGCUAGGACGUCCCAAUAGAACGUGGCCUCCUCGUCCACGUCAGCAUAGCACAUUUCCCACAUGCUCCUCUACACGAGGACGCGUGCCCAUCAAAGCAUAUCCAUUACCAGCCAAAAGUGGAACAACUUUGACCCAUGGUGAGGACUACCUAACGGUCUCUCCCUCCAUCUAAGGAGAUAUCCUGACAGUCACUCUUAGUGGGCUGCUCAACACGGCUCAUUAAGAGGACCAUUGGCCCAGCGCUGGAGGCACUAUAAAUACCCUCCUCUACAUGUAUUUUAUUCUCAUUCUUAACCUAGCUUAAACUUGCAUCUUUGCUCUCUGAACUCACUUAGGCAUCAUAGUGUCUACAUGUACAAACCCCUUUGUAAUGCCCCAAAAUUUAGAAAAAAAAUAUUUAUUUAUUACUUACUGUAAUUAAUUUCGGUAAAAUAUAUGCUGAACCAUUAAUAGGAAUUUAGAGUCGAGGAGAUGAAAAUAAAUAAUUUAACUAUAAUUAAAGAAUUUUAGUAGAUUAAUUAAAUGGAGAAAAAAAUAAAUUAUUUUAGUAUAAUUUUGGAGAGAUAUACUCAAAAAAAUAAAAGUGAAAAUUAUUGAGAGAUAUACCCAUGAGAUUUUCUCUUUUCUUUAGGAAAAAGAAACCUAGACCUUUUUUUUUUCUUUCUGUGAAUAGGUAAACAUAAAACCAAAAAAAGGGAUUUGCCACAAUUUCAUAAAAGAGAGAGAGCAGAGAGUUGAGCAAAGAGAAAAGGGCAACACUAUUUAAGAAAAACUUAAAGAAAUUAUGCAUCAAGAGGUAAGGGCUUAACCUUUCAUCCAAGUUUCAAAACUUUAGAAAGUCACAAAUUUGGAUUUUUGGGUUAUUAACUUAAGGAACUUGUGUCAAAAAAAAAAAACCUUAAGGAACUGAGUUUUUAAAACAAUCCUGGGAAUUGUGUAAAGAAUAGGAACUUCACUUUCUACAAUGGUUGGAGAUGGUAUUAGUGUGUCUCCUUUUUGCUGGAGCUUACUAGUAGUAGUGCAAAGAGUUUGUGUCGGAUUUUCUUUCUUUGGCGUCUUUAANNNNNNNNNNNNNNNNNNNNNNNNNNNNNNAAAAAUUGGUUACAAAAAAGAUAUUAAUCGACGCCUGAGAGAUUCGAACUCUCGCGGGGAAACCCCAUGUACUUAGCAGGCACACGCCUUAACCACUCGGCCAAAGCGUCGAUGUUGUUUAUAUUCUUAAAUGAACACAACAUAUUUGACAUAUUCUGAAAGGAAUGAACACAUACAUAGUAAUAUCUUCCCUAACCUAGUGGCUCUGCUGGUUCCUUGAAAGACUUGAAAUCAGGCAAAAAGCUUUCUAAGUUUGCUGCUGAAGCAAUUGCUAAAAACUUGUUCCUUUUUGAAAUUGAACUUAAAUUCUCCUGAACAAUUGUCCUUAGACGGAACUCAUUGUCCACUUGAACCAAUCACUUAAUUGGUUAGCUAUUUUUUUCAAUCUAAACCAAAUGCAGAAAUAAAAUAACUUUUUAAUGAAAUUAUGAUAAGUAUUCAAUCUAGAUUUUUUUAUUAAAACUGUUUACUAUAUAACAUGAUUAAAUUAUCAAUUUAUAAGUACAAAAUUUAUUUUUCAACAAAAAUGGUAACAAAGUUGCAAACACACUUUUGAUGAUGUGAACAUGUGAAAUUCUUUAAUUGUUCAAGGAAUUCAAGGAUUAAUGGUUUAAAACUUGUGAAAUUUAUCCAAUUCUUGCAAGCUGAUGAUGAUGUCUGUGAAAAUUGAAAGCAUUGAUUGAUUGGUCAACUUGUCUUAUGAGAAAUGUGAAUUGAAGUGGAAGAUUUUCAAUUAGUAUUGUCAAGGGAGGUAGGUUUGGUUCAAAAAUGAAAUAUUGAAACCAUUUUCAGCAUCAGAAAAUGGCAAUGCAAUUGUUGGGUACGUAUGACAUAUAGUUAUUGAAAAUUGGGUAGGUAGCUUAGAAGUAAUGUUGUAAACCAGACCAUAGUAUUUAAAUACAAGUUGUACUAUGUAAACCUUAAUAUCGACACAAUUGACCUACAUCUCGUGUUCUUUGUCUGUGUUUUUCGUAUCUUUUUUACUUUUGAACCAGGUUGUUGUUCUAACAUAUAUUCCCAUUUUUUUUUAAAAAUGCACAUAACUCUAAUUCUUAUCAAUUUUAUACUGGUCAUCUAUAGGGUGCCGGAAUAUUUCCUAAUUUGUGAUGUUAACUUGGGUAGGAAGGAACUUAAAGUUAUGGUAUUUGGAUGUAGGAAUAUGCAAAGCCAGUCAAGUUGUUGAUUUGUUUCCAACCGUGUCUCCCGACAUUACUGUGAGAGAGGCGAGAUUAGAAGACUGUUGGGAAGUGGCAGAGACUCACUGCAGCUCCUUCUUUCCUGAAUAUUCGUUUCCGUUCGAUUUUGUGUUGAGGAUGGAUAGAUUGGUGGCUAUGUUAGCAGGAUUCUCUUUACCGAAUGGUUGCAAAAGAACCUGUUUGGUUGCUGUUAUUGGCAAUUCACUUGAUCAAACAUUUUUAUUUGGAAGUGAAGAUUUUAAAAUUGUGGGUUUUGAUGGUAAAUGAAGCCUCAACAAGGGUUAUGUGGCUGGCAUAUUAACAGUCGAUACUGUUGUAGAUUUUCUACCUAAAAAGGGGCCGCUUCGACAAAGAAGGUGAGUUAAAGCUUGUUUCUGAAACUUGGAUUAGUGAGUGAGGAUUUAUGACAUGAAUCUGGCUUACAUACUGUUGUUAAAUUUUGAAUUGUGUGUCCUUUCAUGCUUCACCAUCUUAUUCGAUGUUUUAUAUUACCCUUGAAAAUGAUUAACUAUUAUUGUUUUAUGAAGGUUUUGAUUCCUCCAUUACCCUUCAAAAUGAUUAACUACUAAUGUUUGUAAUUAUGUAUUAGUCCAUGUUAGAUUAUGUAUUUAUGUUAUUAGUGAAUCUUUGCUUAUGCUAUAACCAUUAUGUAUAAAAAAUAUUGUAGGACUGGAAUUGGAUACAUAUCAAAUGUGGCAGUAAGAGAAAAAUUUAGACAGAAAGGAAUAGCUAAACUAAAAGUUGGGGAUGUCGUGCCAUUGCAUUACACUUUGAUUUACGAAAUCCUGCUGCGCAGAAGUUAUACCAAGGCCAAGGUUUCAAAUCUAUAAAGGUUCCAGAUGGAGCUAACUGACCUCAAUCAAAAACUUCACCAGAUGUUAAGUUCAACUUCAUGAUGAAGCUUCUCAACAAAUCAGCAGUUUCUAAAACAAACUUGAUACUUCCUAGGUAGAUUUUUAAGAUUGUACAAUGUAAUGUAUUUAUGAAAGAAAAAAAAUGUAGUAAGACGGGACUGUCUAUUUGGCGUGUGUAAGUAAACCAAGCAAUUAGAGAAAAAUGCAUUUUAAAACCUUUGGAAUGGCACAGGUAGCAAGCACUUGUAUAGUUAAGUUAUAUUGGCAUUCAUUCACAGUCCCAAAUUUAUAAAGGACACCCUAUACCCUAACCCUACCAUGAUC